AACAGAAUAUUGUCUACUGCCUAACUAUGUGAAGAAGGUGUCAACUUGCAUAGAAGUGGUGUAUGUGGCGGCGGUAAAUGACAGAUAUGUUAUUGUUCUAGCCGUUCUGACAUUGGCGACAGUGUUGGAAAAUCUGGAAACCGGAAAUCACAAGCUGCUGUGCUGGUUCUACUGGUCACUAAAGGUCGGGUACUGCUGGUCUGGAUAAUAGACGCUACUGUGUAGAAUAAGCCUGAUUGGACGGUGUGGAAACCGUAAACCAUAUGGUAAUCCAAACAACCAGAUUCGUCUUGAUGUUGUGGAAACGCAACUAUAACAGCAGUCGUUCGGUGGAGUAGCCCAAUGACGUUACGAAUUGAAGAUUUAGAUACAUGUUUUUUUGUAAUCCUAAAUUUCUGAAUGAUGGGUGAAACUUGCUGGUACUCAAUCCAGCUACGACUUAGAGGUGCUUGCACCUGUGGCAAGAAGUUUAGUGGAGACGUUCCCUAGGCUCAGACUUGUCGCUCGUAUGACCGAAUAUAGUGGAUGGUAGAGAUUGGUAGGGCGAAGGUCCAGGCGGUAGGCAAUAUUCUG
rnacentral:ncRNA from 1 species